AUGAGAAUUAGCCAACGAGGUCUAAAUGAAAGUUGAAGAUCUCAUUAAUAGGAACUCAACGGUAAAAAGACAGACAAAAAUGGAGCUCGUAUGCAAAAGUUACGGACGAUGCUUAGAGACUACUUUACUAUAAAACUCCUAUAAAUACAAGGGUGAACUCCUCAUAUUUUCUUCACACCAUAAGCCUUUCUUUCUCUCUCUAACUUCUCUCUAACCUCCCUAAACCCCUCCCAAGUCUAGGGAACCUCCCUAUCACGAGAAGAAAGCCCCGGAGCGCCCGACGGCUCCGAGAAGAAAAGCUUUCGGCUCGGAAACGCUGCUCCAGCGAAGCCCGGUUUUUAAUAAAAACCCGUUGUUUCGUCAAGGGAUAAUUGUUUUAAGAGUAACGAAGUGCUGUCCGAGUGCCGACUCACCACCUUUCAAGUAUUGAUAUGAAGUGACAUUACACUGAGAGAUUUAAAGAGAUGUAGAUCACUAGUGUAAAUAAUUGAAGGAAAAAAAAAGAAACACACACCUCUAUUGUGUGCGUGUGUUUUAAGGAAGAGACAGAGUUUGAUUAGCUAGGAACAAGGGAGGAAGAAGGCAGCACCCUUUGGUGGUGACAGAAGGCGGCUUGAAAUCUUGAUCUUCCAAACUUUAGCACCUCCGAUUUCUUAUGAUUUUUACAAGAUUAAAGGUGUAGGAGCUUCAAGUGAAAAAUAAAUAAAAUUUAAAGAAUAAACGUCUGAGGCCCCAUUUUUGGGCAUUAUGGAGUCAAAAGCAUGGUUUUUUGGAAAACCGAGUAUCUCGACAUGACAAGCCAAGUGAAGAUCGUGCAUCUGAAGAGUGAUCGGGACAUGACACGUAUGUGGUCACAGCGUGAGGGUGGCUGUAACCCAAGCCCAUGAUCUUUUAGGUUUCCUCCAUAUUUAAACUCCAUUAACUCGAAUCUAGGGUUCAUUAUCAGCCUCCAUCUCCCUCAAACCUCAGAAAAACCCUAACCCUAAUCCCUCUUGGUGUUUUGGCUCAAUUUUGGUGGUUUUUGUGCUAUUUGAAGGAAGUAGAAGGAGAAUUGGUGCAAGGAUCAAUCAAACAACAUCUUCUCAUCUUUGAUAUCAACUUCUUGACCAUUUGUAAGGAUUUAAGCUUCCACCUUUAUUGUUUAUUCUCUUAUAUCUAAGUUGUUUAAGUUCCUUUUGGGUCACGGUUUUGAUUUGAGUGUAAGGAUGGAUUAAAGUUGGCAACUUUAUGGUCCUCUUAUAACACCCCAUUUUUGCCUUAUAGUAUGAUCGACUAAUCACGUAAAUAAACAUUCUUGCUAGAGGAAUAUUUAGGAUAAAUAGUCUUGACGAAAGUCAUAGUAAUCGCAAAACUAAGAGCGUGCGUAUAUAGACCGUCAAAAUCUGACUUCAUAAGAGGAAGUUAUGAUUUUUAGAAGUUACAGCGUAGCAGUGUAUGACACAAAAAUGCAAUAGAGAUUGGUCGAUUGUUAGGAAAAACAAUCUAAACGAGAGUUGAAAAUCUCGUCCAUAUGAUUUUGUCGAUAUAAAGACAGUCGAGAACGAAAUUCAUAUGAGAGAGUUAUGAUUUUUAUACGGGCUUUAACAGUCAAAGACUGUUAAAAAUAUAGCUUUAAAAAUAAAUUCAAAAUUAGUCGACGGAGUCUAAAUGAAACUUGUAGAUCUAAUUGAUAGCUAUGCAUGGAUAUAAAGAACGUAAAAAACAGAGCUCAUAUGAAGAAGAUAUGAUUUUUGGAAGAAUCUGAAAAUUCGCACGCAGGCGCGCGCACUGCACGGCACGUAAAGACAGUCUGAUGCGGCCCACCAGUUUUGGGACAUGUUUGGUGAGACUAGCUUGGAAAGGGUAAAAUGGUAUGUUACCCUAGAGACAAAGUAUGUUAUGGACCAGCAGCUCAGGUGUGAGUGUUAUCUGUUAUCGAUUGAGGUAAGUCUUCUCAUUAUAUUGUAGGACACUAGGUGUCGUAUAUGCUUGAUGUCUUUGUGACUCUUGUGUUCCUGAAUGUUAUAUGUAUGUGGGGUGAAAUAGACUCAUUCGUUUGAAAAAUAUUGAUUCAGUCGGAAGGGACUCUAGGGUGAAAUAGACUCGUUCGUUUGAAAAACACUGAUUGAGUCGGAAGGGACUCAAUGGUGAAAUAGACCCAUUAUAGCCUUGUGCUGAUAUGUAUGUAUGGUAUGUGAUAUUUUGAGAAACUCACUAAGCUUUGUGCUUACGGUAUAUGUUUAAAAUGUU